rnacentral:lncRNA from 1 species
AUGUUAACCACCUGCUCCCCCAACCAGCUGCCUCCCCAAACCAUGCUUCUCGAGGAGAGGAGAUGCCAGCAUCUUCAGUCAAGCAAAGACAGAGGGAGACUUGCCUGUGGUUGGAAACCACCCUCCCGGGCCCCAGGACAGUAUCACGGAAGGGGACCUAGAUCCACUGGAUCAGGAGGAGCAGAACUGACUACCGCCUUCCUGCCAGUGUCUGCUGACCAGUUCACCCACUUGCAUCACGUGUUGCAGCGCAUUGCUUCGUUACGCCUGGAGUUCCUCAAGGACGGAAAUGAAUGUUCUGGGGCUGGGUCUGUCCUUGACCGAGAUCUUGAUGGACGCCUGCCCCUCUCUAAACUCACUGUAUAUCACACAGAGAUUUGGACGUGUUUCGGGCUUGGGGUUUUCUGUUUGGUUUUUUGGGGGGAAGUGUUUUUGAUUCACCCUUGCAAAAAGAAUAUUCUAUCAGAGUUACCAGCUGGAAGGAACUAUUGCCAUCGCACUGAAGUAGAUCAAGACGUAAAAAAGAUGUUAAGAGCGGCAGCGGCUGCUACACUCAUGUUUUCUGGCUUGCUGAUAACUCUCUGAUGGUUUCCACAUCAGGAAGGACUCUGGGAUCAGGAGCCAGAGGGGUUUUUUUUGGGGGGGGGGGGGUUUGUUUUUAAUUCUUUUUUCCCCACAGCCGUUGGUCACAAGAAUUUAUGAGGAAACCAAUGAAAGAGUCGAUGGCCUCUUCCAACAACCUUAAAUGACAAGGGCGUCUGGGCCGGAAGGCCGUCUCUGACCCAGGGCGUGUGAAAGCGCUGUGCAAGCUGGUGGCUGCGACGAGGCACCACGACCACCACGUGGUCUCCUCAUCUUCUGGAAUCUUCUUUUGAGCCCGUCAGCGCUGUGGCCCUCCUUUUCCAGCACUGCCCAUGAAGCCUGCCCCACACAGCCUUGAGGCCAGAGAGACCUCAGUUUGAAGCCCAAGUGACCCCUUCCGGCUGCAUGCCCCUGUCCUUGGGACUCCCUCAGCCCUCUGGUCCUCAACUGUGACAUGGGGACAGUAACACCUACCUCUGAGGGCCUGUUCCAAGCAUUAAAUGAUGCUUUACGCAGCCUCCCUUGGGCCUUCAUUACACCAGGUGCUACGGCUAACACGAUGCUGAGGAGCUCCCGUUAUGACUCAUCGCUAAUGAACCUGACUGGUAUCCAUGGGGAUGCAGGUUUGAUCCCGGGUCUCACUCAGAGGGUUAAGGAUCCAGUGUUGCUGUGAGCUGUGGUGUAGGUCGCAGAUGUGGCUCAGAUCCCCUAUGGCUGCGGCUGCAGCUCCCAUUCAACCCCUAGCCUGGAACUUCCAUAUGCUGCGGGUGCGGCCAUAAAAAGACCAAAACAAAACAAAACAAACAAACAAAAACGCAAUGCAGAAAGUACAUGGAGAGACAGAUGAAGUAUCUGACAAACAAUAUCUGUGGCCAGUAAAUGUUUUCAUCGUAUUUGUCAUUAUUGCCUUUAUUCAGAUAGAUACACUAUUAAAGGAGCAAACGGUUGAACUGAGAGAAGCAGCAGGUUGCACCGGGUCUGCAAACCUAAAAGGAGGAGUUCC